GACGAACGCUGGCGGCGUGCUUAACACAUGCAAGUCGAACGGUAAGGCCCUUCGGGGUACACGAGUGGCGAACGGGUGGGUAACACGUGGGUGAUCUGCCCUGCACUUCGGGAUAAGCCUGGGAAACUGGGCCUAAUACCGGAUAGGUCCCUGGUAUGCUUGUCCUGGGGGGGAAACCUUUGGUGGUGUGUGAUUGGCCCGCGGCGUAUCAGCUUGUUGGUGGGGUGAUAUCCUACCAAGUGGACGACGGGUAGCAGGCCUGAGAGGGGGAACGGCCACGCUGGGACUGAGAUAAGGCGCAGACGCCUAAGGGAGGCAGCAGUGGAGAAGAUUGCACAAUGGGCGCAAGCCUGAUGCAGCGACGCAGCGGGAGGGAUGACGGCAUUCGGGUUGUAAACCUCGUUCAGAACCGACGAAGCGCAAGUGACGGUAGGUGCAGAAGAAGGACCGGCCAACUACGUGCCAGCCGCCGCCGUAA
rnacentral:rRNA from 1 species